rnacentral:rRNA from 1 species
AUUGAACGCUGGCGGCAUGCUUUACACAUGCAAGUCGAACGGUAACAGGCCGCAAGGUGCUGACGAGUGGCGAACGGGUGAGUAAUGCAUCGGAACGUGCCCAGUCGUGGGGGAUAACUACUCGAAAGAGUAGCUAAUACCGCAUACGAUCUAUGGAUGAAAGCGGGGGACCGUAAGGCCUCGCGCGAUUGGAGCGGCCAAUGUCAGAUUAGGUAGUUGGUGGGGUAAAGGCUCACCAAGCCAACGAUCUGUAGCUGGUCUGAGAGGACGACCAGCCACACUGGGACUGAGACACGGCCCAGACUCCUACGGGAGGCAGCAGUGGGGAAUUUUGGACAAUGGGCGCAAGCCUGAUCCAGCAAUGCCGCGUGCAGGAAGAAGGCCUUCGGGUUGUAAACUGCUUUUGUACGGAACGAAACGGCUCUGGUAAAUACCCGGGGCUAAUGACGGUACCGUAAGAAUAAGCACCGGCUAACUACGUG